UCCGCCCCCUUUGUCCGCAGGGGGCAGGGGCGGGGCCUAAACCCGUGAAGGUCACGUGGCUGCCCGGCCUUACGGCUCCUGCCGGCCAUCUCGGAAUCGGGCGGAAGGGGCCUGAGUUCUAGGGCUGGACGGACAGGGAGAAACAUCAGGUUUUUCUGUGCAAAGACCCGUGAGGGAUGACGGAGAAGAUGGGAAUCGGAUGAAGGGACAAACUCUAACAUACCCAGACAACCUGCCAGAUGCUGUCUUCUUCACUGCCCAUCCUAACCUGCUGUGUGCUACUAAGAACCUGAGCAGCAAGAGAGACUGGAUGUCCUAGAACUGCCACACUGGACAAUCAGGAGAGGCCACAGUUCCUCUGAGCUUCUGAGGACUUGAUCAGCUUUGUGCGCUGAAUCCAUACCUCAGGAAUCUGCUGCAUUUCAGUUUCCCCAGAUGAUUGACGUGUGAUGGUUUGAACAUUCUUUUGAUCUUCUGAACAGCAUUCUCCACUCCGGGCAUGCUCUUGUCACAUACUCUGAAUCCUCCUCUGAGCAGCGGUCAAAUGGAAAUCUUGUGUAUCUAAACGUCAGCUAAUGCAUAUUGCACCAGACACACACAGUAUGUGUUCACAAGUCUCCAAAAGCAACUGCAGAAGCAUGACCUAACACUUGAGACCAUGUCAGAACAUGCUGCUUUUACAAUCCAUGCUUUGAGGGGGAGAAUCGCUUCCUGGGGGAUGGAAGAACAUUAAAGGGAUGAACAGGAGAAAAUGGGGUACAUUCAACAAAGAGAGCAAUAGCCUCUCUAUGUCCCAGUCAGCUGUGAGAGAGGAAAUCCAGCAGAGUUCCCAAACAAUAGUUUUCAGUUGGCAAACUUGUCUCUGAAACUAUACAAUUGUUCAUUGAACCUGGAUCCUGACAUGGACAUGUUCAUUAGCAGUGAGGCAAGCAAGGGCUCAGAUUUCGACUCAGUCUUGAAUGCCAUGAACUGCUUGCAAACAUCUGUCUGAUCCACGGUGGCUUUCUUGAGAAUAGUUAUUAGCAUAAUAACCACGCCGCAGAAUGAAAGCCAGGGCUCAUGCGAUGGUGACAAUGCCAUGCUGAGAAUUAAAAUAAAGAUCCAUAAGUGCCUGUAUAAUCUGCUGAAAACUUAUCUGUGAAGUGCCUACUUGAUCACAUCUCCUCGUCUGCUUCAGGCCCCCGGGUUGGACUGAUUGACUGGAGUCCCAAGAAUACUGUUGCAAAACAGUUCAGCAUUCAAAGCUUCCACAAGGAGAAGAUAAGGAAGCCAGAAAGCAGCCAUACUUCUGCUUGGUAUCCACUGGGGCAUUGUGUCUUUGUGAUUUAAGAAUACAGACUAUGACAAAGGCAGCAAAUAAGACUCAAGCAAUUAACACCAUGCAUCAUACCUUCUAUAUGCUCCAGGCUAUGGCUUUUUGUGGUAAUAUUGGUACAUAGCAGAGAUGUAUGGAUUAUUCAGUGUGAAUGUUAUUCCUUCCAAAUUAACUCCCUCUUCUGUUCAUUACUUGUUUGGG